GUUGCCGCGGGUAGAGCCCCGGGCGCGCGUGUAGCGGCUGGCGGCUCCCAGCGCCCGGGGCGGAACUGGUACCGGGGAGGGCAGAAGGGCAGGGUCCCCGGUGGGGAGGGAUCUGGCGGGCCAGGGCGGAGACUCAGUCCAACCUAGUUUCACUUUCCGGGUGUCCCGCUCUGCGCCCCGGCCCUGCACUUGCAGCUGUCUCUGCACCCGCAGCCCGGCUCUCCUGCGGGCAGAGCGCCGGCCUUUCCUAACCCCGAGACAGCGCGACGACGGGGGCCGGCGGCCGGUGGACAGACGCUGGUCGGCGCGCGCCUGAUGCCCCUCAGCUGCGACGCCAGCGUGGAGGGGUCCCUUCCAGCUGCUCUAUGUGAAGGCGCUCGUCUUGCCCGAAGCCUCCCGAAAGAGGGGAGGGGACAGGAGGUGGAGGCGGGCCCUGCCCCUGCCUGGGCCUUGGGAACUACAGCCUGUCCCUGUUCCUGCCCCAGCCCCAGGUGGCGGGAAGGAUGACCACGCUUACGCGGCAGGACCUCAACUUUGGCCAAGUGGUGGCCGAUGUGCUCUGUGAGUUCCUGGAGGUAGCAGUGCACCUGAUCCUCUAUGUGAGAGAAGUCUACCCGGUGGGGAUCUUCCAGAAACGCAAGAAGUACAACGUGCCGGUCCAGAUGUCCUGCCACCCGGAGCUGAACCAGUAUAUUCAGGAUACGCUGCACUGCGUCAAGCCACUCCUGGAGAAGAAUGAUGUCGAGAAAGUGGUGGUGGUGAUUUUGGAUAAAGAGCACCGCCCAGUGGAGAAAUUCGUCUUUGAAAUCACUCAGCCUCCCUUGCUGUCCAUCAGUUCAGACUCCCUGCUGUCUCACGUGGAGCAGCUGCUCCGAGCCUUCAUCCUGAAGAUCAGUGUGUGUGAUGCUGUCCUGGACCACAACCCCCCAGGCUGUACCUUCACAGUCCUGGUGCACACGAGAGAAGCAGCCACUCGCAACAUGGAGAAGAUCCAGGUCAUCAAGUCCGCCUCUCCAGGACUUCCCCUGGAUCCUGGCAGAUGAACAGGAUGUCCACAUGCAUGACCCCCGGCUAAUACCCCUGAAGACCAUGACGUCAGACAUUUUAAAGAUGCAGCUCUAUGUGGAAGAGCGAGCUCACAAAAGCAGCUGAGGAUACGCCUGGCCCUCCACUGAUGCCACACCUGUCGGACUUGAGGGCCCCCAGCCUAGGGCAGCACUGCAGGCCCCCUGAUUCCAAGUGCUCUUAUUGCCUCUACGUGUAGACCGCCGCCCUCAGCCCAAGGCUGUGCAAGUCUGAUCACCUUCGUGGACUCUGGGAGGACAGUGAAGGGUGCUGGGACCUUGAAUUCUCAGCUUCCUCCAGUUCAGCUGGCCAACACUGUCUCCAGUACUGUGCUGUGAACUGUUUCAAUAAAGGGGCUCCAAGGGCUGAGCUGGGCUGUCACUCACUGGAGUGGGAGGGACUGGUGCAGCCAGAUUAACCUGGGGAAGGGGCUGCUUCUCCACCAAAGUGCCAGGCACCUCCUGCCCCCACCCCUAAAUCCAACCCCAGGCUGAUUUUAAUGUAAACAUUUAUUGUGACAAAAUGUUGAAACAAUAUGACAGUUAAGUCAGCACAAACUGGUGGGUCUGCCCAACACUGGAACUGGGCAGUAGCUCCCAGGACAGGGGCCUCACUACCCAGUACAGGCUCAGGUCUUGCCUGGAGGGGACCUCUGGCCCUCGGCUGGCCCAGACAGAGGACGGACGGACGGAUAGAUGGUUGGAUGGGUGGCCAGUCAGAUAAUGGAAGGAUUUCUGGAGAGGACAAGUGGGCAGCCUUCUCCCACCCCUGCCUUGUCUUUAGGCUGAGUUGUUGGCGAGCCCGAGUUCGUGGUCAUCUUAUGGCUGAUGACUAUGCUGCUGUUGGUGACACGGGGCCCGUACCAGCCGGCCCAAAGCUGGGUGUCCUUGCCUCCAUGCUGGAACAGGAUGUGGCGGACGCCUGGAGGGUAGUCCGAGAAGGUGUAGGAGACCUGGGGGAGGGGAGAGGCAGUGACCACUGGGACUGAGAAGGAGGGCGACGGAGGAGCCAGGUCCCAUUGGGGAAAGGUGGGUGGGCAGGGCAGGCAAGCAGGUGAGGCCUCACCUCUGUCCACUUGGCGUCGUUCCAUUGGUGGAUGAUCACGGGUGGUGGCUCGAAGGAGGCCAAGACAAUGUAGUCAGCGGAGGCCAGCUGCACUCGGAGGUGAUAGGUGCAGCCACAGUCUGCUCUGGCAGCAAACCUAGGGGAGGGCAGGCCUGAGGGCUGGUGCUGGGGGCGGGGCCAGCAGCAGGCCCUCAAAUGAGAACUAGGGGUUGUUUUUCCCUAAGUUUGGCUGAGGUCUUCCGUCUGUCAGCAAUGCCCUACCCAUGAGGCCCAGCCUGUUUUGGGCUCCCUAUGCUCUGAGGUGGGAGGCAGCAGUCUAUCCAUCUGAGAAAAGGGACAACUCUUAGGUAUUCUAGUGAAGAUGUCAUCCCCAAAAGUAAAAGGUCCCCUACAGAGACCAGGGCCCGGUCCCUCAGAAUUAUGUCACCUGUACAUUAUAAUGGAUCAGGCAGUGGACUUAGUGGGAGAUUCAUGGGGUUGGCUUGCGUGAUGGGGGUGCCACAGAGCUCCACCUCUGCUUAGCCCUGUCCUCACCCUUCAGACCCCACCCCUUCACACUUCAAGCAGUGGCCCUAGUGUCUGGCUGAAACUGGGGUCCUGCCUUCUGCUAUGGGCUGAGCCAGGGCCUUGCAAGCUCUGUGCACACAGUAGGCACUGGGUAGAGUUGUAGGGUAAGUGAUGAAAGGAGGUGGGCAGGCAAGAAAGCAUGUGAAUGUCUAUGAGGUUCCGGGGAGGGCUGGGGUCCUGGGCAUCUCUAGUGACAGCUCAUCUGUAGCCCUCAGUCUCCCCAGCUGUAAACUGGGCUAAUGUCUCUCACAGCAUGAUGGGGAGGCUGAGAGGAGCUGCUGGACGGGCAAGUGCUGGGUCUGCCUGGCUCUAGGACAACCCUUGCCCCCAGGACAUAGCCAGGCACAGACUGGGUACUCUCUGAGGGUUUUCUUACCCACUGAAUGUGGCAGGAAGGGAAGGGUGCAGAGUGUGGGGACAUCAUGGGCCCCACUCACCAGUCCUUGACGACGAUGUCAGGCCGGAAUGUGUCCAGCAGCUCCUCCCAGUAGCCCUCGGCCUUGAGGUCCACCAGCUGGGACUUGAGGCACAUGCUGGGGACAGAGGAGAAGGCUUGUAGUCCCAGGUGUGUUCCACAUGGCCCUGCCCAGGCCCUGGCAGCCACUGUGGCCCCAUGGAGACAGUCUGUGAGCUAGCCUCAGGCUGGUCACCUUGGCCCUGGCAGUUCUGUCCACACCUGGCAGCAUCCCCCUGACUACUGCAGGACAGGUACUGGUGGUGCUGACUCCUGCUCCUGCCCCAGCACAGGCCUGUGGGGACCAUAGCAGGACAUCUGAUCCACUUGUGUGUGGGUGGCAUUUGAUCCCGGCCCGUGCAGGCACGAUGCGGUCCGAUGCCAGCUUCCUGCAUUUGGCCCAGGACACCAAGGAGACUUUGGGGUACCCUCCGUGAGCUCACGUUCCUACAUGAGGGGCAACCUGUAGACAUACAGAUUUACCUUAACUGUCUAUUGGAAUCCUGGCCUCCUGAAAUGACCUCCACCCCCACUGCCUACUGACCCAGCCUCUGAGUUUCCUCCUGCUCCAGGAAGCAGUAGACCCUGAGCUGGUGUUGGAGCCAGCUCCCUCAGGCUUCACAGGGAGACCUUUACUUAGGCCUGAGAUUUGGCAAAAGAUGUCCUGGUCCUCUUCUCCCUCAAAAAUCCUGCCAGAAGCCCACAAGCCUGCUCGGUUCAGUUUGUCUUACCCGUAGGAUGUGACAAAGUACUUCUUGACUUUGGGGUCAGGAAAAUUUGUCCCGUGUUCUCCAGGGAGACUCUCCACCUUCCAGUGGUCACCUUCAUUGGAGUCAAUGCGCCAGAAUCCCAUAUUCUCUAGGAAAAACAGAAGCUGAGGUGACAUCCCCUACGUCAACUUAAAGUCUGGCCUCCCCAUCAGGCUCCAGAAGGGAGGGAGGAUGGUUAGCAUUCCUUCCAAAUGGCAGGGCUUGGCUUCUGCUCAAAGAUCUCUGGGGCUGUGGACACCCAGGGGUUAACCAGUUUGUUCUUUCUGGGUUAAACAGCCCAGGUCAGCUCCUCAUCAUCCCACCCACCUUGAAGCACCCCUACAAAGCUCCCCUCCUCCAUACUUUCCCACUCUCCUAACCAUAGCCUCUCAGAUCUGGGACCCUCUCCCUCCCACUUGGUCCCCAGCUGGCUUGACGUGAAGCUGGAAAAAAGAACAUUUCCAGAAAUUCUAAAACAAACCUUUCCUCUCUCCCAUUGUUGCUCUGGGGCUUAAAAAAUUAAAUUUCAUCAAGGCCUGUAAUGAGCCUACUUGGUUCUCAAUGGCAGGUGUAAGUUUGUCCGGUGGCUAAUGAGCUGCCCUAAGGAGGGAGGAGCCCUUGGUUAACUGAGAUCUGCGGAGUCUGAGAGGCCUGACUAAUGGGUUUGUUAUGGGUGUUGGGAACCUACUCUGCUGAUGGGAUUCAGCCCCCUCUGCCUAGGGCGAGAGAUAACAGGAGGACAGGGAACCUCUGGGGUGGAGGCAUGCCAUGACCCCAGUGUUUGUGGAAGGAUUGCUUGGCAGGUUCAGAGGUGCAAAGCUGUCCUUCCCAGCCUUCCCCUUCAGGAUGAACUUAGAGGACUGUAGGAAACAACAACAGCUCUCUCCCAAGGCUGUCCAUAAUAAUCUAGGGGAGCGUUUCCUUUCCUGGUCCCCUCACCAGGAGCCCACACCUCUUUCCCAGGUGCCUAGGGGGGCCCCCAGGUGAGAACCGGAGGAACGAUACAGAAAUCCAGCAGCUGGGUUGGCACUGUGCAUGGGCAUAGGGGGAGAGCAAGGCCAGGCUGACCGCUGCUGGGCCCAGGGUCAGUGCAAGGCCAGGCUAGAGUGGCUCUGCAGGGAAGUGGGAGCUGAGCUGAGCAGGGGUGCCCGUCUGGGCAGCUUCUGAGCAGAAUCGGGGGCAGGCAGAGAGACUGUGUUUGGGGCAUUGUCAGUCAGUGGGGCCUUUGAGAAGGGCCAUGAGGCGUUUAUCAGUCCGGCCCAGCCUCAGAGCUGGGGAGUUCUUGGUCCUUUGAAUAUUCAUCUCAGGGUCUCAAGCUUCCCAUCUAUAAAAUGGAGCCAACCCUACUUAUUCAGGUAAUUCCCAGGAUCCUUGUGAGGAUAGAGAGAGAAAAUGAUACAAACACUAUGCCUCUUCAUCAACCGCUGCUGCAGCCCCAAGCAGCACAGUGUCCGGCACAGAGUAGGUGCUAAGUGAAUGAGGGGGAAAAACCCUGGCAAACACAGGAGAACAUUACCUAUAACUUAAACAGGAGUCUCUAACUAUGUUAUCACAGUUGCCUCUCGAGAUCCUUGUUUGCUUCAUCUGUAUAAGGGAGAUAUCUGGACAGUAAUUACAUGUGUGGAGUCCCUGGGUAGUGCCAAUGGUUCAUGCACUUGGCUGCUAAACAGAAGGUUCGAAGUUUGAGCCUGCCCAGAGAUGCCUCGAAAGAAAGGCCUGGCAAUCUACUUCUGAGAAAUCAGCUACUGAAAAUCCCUAUGGAGAAGAGUUCUACUCUGAUACACACAUGGGAUCAUCAAAAGUCAGAAUCAACUUGGUGGCAACUGGUUUUAAUUACAAUUCUAAGGACCUCAGACUAGUGCCUGGCACAGAGGGAGCCCUCAACAGAUGCUAGGUAGCUCGGACUGAACCAAAAGGGCACGGUGGGUCUGCAUGGUGUUCAUUCAGCAAAGAUUUCUCGAGCACCUGCUGUGUGAAGGCAUUGUUACAGGUGCUGGGUACAGAGCGGCAGACAAGAUCCAUUAGGUCCCUGGAACUUGAUGUUUGUGGCAGAGGAAAAAAAAAAAAAAGUAAAACAUCAAUAAUUACAGGGUAUGCAAGUGCUCUGAAGGAAUGAAAUGGGGGUGGCAUGAUAGGUGUGGGAGUACUGUUUUUAGAUGGGGGUCAGGGCAUGUCUCUGACCUGAGACCUAAAGGAGAAGGAACCUGGCAGACCAUGCCAAGGAGGGUGCUGGGUGUUGCCUGUGUGGGAGAAUAGUCUAGGUGGUGUGGGAGUAGCAAGUACAAAGGCCCUGACGUUCAGGAAAGGGAGGGAACCAGGCCAGCGGCACCACCCUCCCCUCCCCUCACACCCCACCUUCAGCGCAGGGGUUGCGCAGGAGGUUCCUGCUGAGGCUGCGGAGGAAGUAGAAGAUCUUCCAGUCAGCCACGGGCUCGUCCCAGUCCUUUGUGAUGAAGCCAUCGAGCAGGCUCUUGCGCUUCCAGAGGGUCACCA